AGGGAAUCUUCCACAAUGGACGAAAGUCUGAUGGAGCAACGCCGCGUGAGUGAUGAAGGUUUUCGGAUCGUAAAACUCUGUUGUAAGGGAAGAACCAGUACGUCAGGCAAUGGACGUACCUUGACGGUACCUUAUUAGAAAGCCACGGCUAACUACGUGCCAGCAGCCGCGGUAAUACGUAGGUGGCAAGCGUUGUCCGGAAUUACUGGGUGUAAAGGAUGCGUAGGCGGAUAUGUAAGUCAGAUGUGAAACCCCCGGGCUUAACCCGGGGCAUGCAUUUGAGACUGCAUAUCUAGAGUGCAGGAGAGGAAAGCGGAAUUCCUAGUGUAGCGGUGAAAUGCGUAGAUAUUAGGAAGAACACCAGUGGCGAAGGCGGCUUUCUGGACUGUAACUGACGCUGAUGCAUGAAAGCGUGGGGAGCAAACA
rnacentral:rRNA from 1 species